rnacentral:rRNA from 1 species
GAUUAACGCUGGCGGCAUGCAUAACACAUGCAAGUCGAACGAUGAAACUUAAAUGAUUUCUUCGGAAUGAACUUAAGUGGAUUAGUGGCGGACGGGUGAGUAACGCGUGAGUAACCUGCCUUACACAAGGGGAUAGCCGUUGGAAACGACGAAUAAUACCCUAUGAAACUAUCACUUCGCAUGAAGCGAUAGUCAAAGUGUUAGCGGUGUAAGAUGGACUUGCGUCUGAUUAGCUAGUUGGUGAGAAAAAAGCCCACCAAGGCAACGAUCAGUAGCCGGCUUGAGAGAGUGUACGGCCACAUUGGGACUGAGACACGGCCCAGACUCCUACGGGAGGCAGCAGUGGGGAAUUUUGCACAAUGGGGGAAACCCUGAUGCAGCGACGCCGCGUGAUUUAGAAGGCCUUCGGGUUGUAAAAAUCUUUUGUAUAGGAAGAAAAUGACAGUACUAUACGAAUAAGGUCCGGCUAAUUACGUG